AAAUUGAAGAGUUUGAUCAUGGCUCAGAUUGAACGCUGGCGGCAGGCCUAACACAUGCAAGUCGAACGGUAACAGGAAGCGCUUGCUGCUUCGCUGACGAGUGGCGGACGGGUGAGUAAUGUCUGGGAAACUGCCUGAUGGAGGGGGCUAACUACUGGAAACGGUAGCUAAUACCGCAUAACGUCGCAAGACCAAAGAGGGGGACCUUCGGGCCUCUUGCCAUCGGAUGUGCCCAGAUGGGAUUAGCUUGUUGGUGGGGUA
rnacentral:rRNA from 1 species